CACAUAUUCGAGAAUCUCGGAAAGAACGUUGUUCAAAAUGGCGGCAAUGGUGGUUUGGCCAGUUUCCAUGAGAGUUUAUUCUAACGAAUAAACUCAAGGUUGCUGUAACAAAGCAGAGAUAUAAAAGUUUAUAAUCGUCGAAUUGUCAGUUCAUUGAAAUAUCAAAAGCAUGAAAGAAGUAUUCCCAAGGACGAUACUGGUAAGCUAACGCUGAUUUGAGUUUUCCGGUAUGUCAACAUCAAAGUCGCAAACGCACUUGCGUAUUACGCGAGAUGAAAAGAGACAGAGAGAAAGAGAGAGAGAGAGAGAGAGAAAUAGAGGGUGAACGACAUUAGGGACGUCGAACCAUCCAACUCCAGCAACAAGGAUAAUUAUGGCAGAUAAUUACCUCUACUUGUAGUCGAAGGAUAGCAUCGAGAAAGGAGCUACUCGACUGUAUUCUCCGAGAGAGAACUUUUACACUUUUCUUUGACGCAAGAAAGGGGAAAGUAAAGUGGAAAAAAAAGGAGAGAGAGAGAAAGAGAGAAGAGAGGAAAAAGGAGAGACGAAAAGGUCCAAGAAAGAAAAUUAAAGAAUCUAGGAGAAGAAGAAGAAGAAGGAAGAAAAGGAUGAGGAUGAGAAUGAGGAGGAUGUGGAGGAGGAGGAGUCUCGCAAUUUCCUCCGGUGGACGCUUAUCCGAUUGGAAAUUGCACGACAAAAACUUGAGAUCGUUGCACCCUACGUUAGGCACGUUUGAAAGACGCUACCGCAAGUCGAGCGCUUUACGAGAAUGCGGACGGUCGAGUCAACAGCCCUGAAUUCCUUCGUUGACUGAAAGUAUUCACGGAACGAAGGAUAUAUUCUUUCUCUCUUCUCCUCUCCCUUUCGUAUUUUAUUCGCAAAAAGUCUUUGUUUCUUUCUUAUUUUUCUUAUUUUCCCGUCAUUCAAGCGACGCGGAAUACUCGACGAUCGAUCGUAGAUCUUGAUCUUUUUCGAUCCUUUAAAAGGAAAAACAGAAAGUUAUAUCUACUCGAUAUACUCCAAUCAUUAAUAUUAUAAAGUCUUUGAUCGCAUCUUCUUCCUCAUACAUUUUCCUAUGUUUCUUUUUAAUCAAUAUUUCUAUUUCAAAUUUCGCGCAAUAUUAAAUCAGUGAUUUAAAAAUUACAAAAGAGUUUGAUUUAAAAAAUUAAAAAAAAAUCAAAUUGAAAUCUUAAUAACAAUCUAUCUUUCAUCGAAUAAAAUUGCGUAAAAAGAUAUUCCUAUAAAUAUUAAGGUAACGUAUUUGUUAAUAAUUGUUAUAUAAGGAAAAUCGAAAGGUGAUUUAUGAAAGGCGAAAUAUUUAUGUAAUAACUCAUAUUAUUCGAUCAACGUUCGUUUAUUUUUUCUUUUUUCUUUUUUUAUUGUUUAUUUUUCUGUGUAAGUAUAAUAUCAAUUACGUUUCGACUAUCGACAAGUGUGCAAUCGACUUUAUUGUCGAGAAAUAUAAUACUAAAUGAUUACUUCGUAGAAUUACCGAUGUAGGAAUAAAUUUAUCGUCAUUACAAUUAUUUCCAUCUUAAGUCGUUCAAAGAUUCCUUUAUGUCUCUCAAACGAUGAACAAUGCUAUCUCUUAAAGCAUUUUCUUUUUAUAGUAAUCGAUGUAUCAAACAUUUUGUGGAAUUUACUUAUUCAACAGGAUCAGUCAUCAAUUCGAAUUAUUCUAAUUUCGUGACGUAUCAAUUUCUUUCUUUAUAUAAUUUUCUCGUCAUUUCAAUUCGACAUAUUAAGUUUAAGUUCGACGAGAGUUUAUUUUCUCUAACAAACUAUUCCUUCAAAUUAUCUAUCCUUUCCACGUAUCACGGUUCUUACAAUUAAACGACUUCUCUAGAAAGAUCUAUUUCUCGAUCUAUUUCGUUUGACAGACUCGACUCUGUCAUGCAUCAAGUUUCGAACUAAUUUGCAAGAUUCUUUUUCCUCUUGGUUCGCCAAUCGUAUCGUUAAAGGAUAGAACAAUUUCUCGAGAAUUCGAUCUACGUUCGAAAGAAAAAAAGAAAGAGUAAAGGAAAAGGAUAGAAAUAAUUUUUCUCUUGCGCAAAAUUUCAAGCUCGAUCUAAAGUUUAAACGUAUAAAUAACAAUCGUUAAUAACGCAAUCAUCGAAGAACAUAUCCGUUUAGUUCGAUACCAAUUUAUUUUCUCGUGAACAAAUUGACUCCAUCAAAUCGUCCUAUCUCUUCUAUAUAUCAUAAUUUCUUUUUUCCUCUACUACCUACCCCAUUGCUCCCAUCAUUUCUCUAUAUCUUACAAAUCCGAUAAAUUUUCAUUCGAACAAUCGAAAUCAAUAAAUUUCUCUGGAAUCAUCCCGAUUAACGCGAACGUAUCGACGUAAUAACGUUAUUUUUACAAAUAUAUAUUUAUAUCUAAUUUGUCAUUUACCAUAACAUCAUAUAUUAUAAUUACUCGAAUGAAAAUGUCAAUAUAAAAAAAGAAACUACCUUCAAGCAAAUCAAAUUCAAUAAUUGAUAAAAAGAAGAAGAAAAAAAAAAGAAACCAUUUUUUAAGAAAGGUUAAGAAAUCAUUUUUUUCGUUAAUCGAAAUAGACUACAAAGCGAAUAUACAAUAGCUUAACUUUCCUCGUCCCCUUUCUCACUUUUUCUUUUAGUUAGGCCAAGCGCAUCAAGAAAAGGAACCGUUCAUUUCGCAAGGACUCGAUCAAUAAAGAUGAUACCUAGAUAGAUUAAGAAAAACGAAAUGAGAGAAACAAAGCGAAAGAAAAAAGAGAGAGAGAGAGAGAUCGUCCAUUCGAUCUAUAAUAGAUCGAACGAACGAUCUCUCGAAAAAUUCCACAAUCCUUCGAUCUCUCUCUCUCUCUCUUUCUCUUUCUCUUUCUCUCUCUUUCGAAUACCAGCACGUUAAAAGUCUGGUGAGAGGUAACGAAUGAUUAUCGAGAGUCCUGUUUCAGGUUCCUCCUUUCGCUAUCUUGCAAAGAACGUUCACGUUAAAUAAACGACGCUGGACCCCUCCCCCCUCCCACCCCCUCUUCCUCUUCCCACCACCUCCUCCUCCUCCUCCCCAUCCCUUCGACUUCGUCGUCGUUGCAAACUAGUAAUUGGAAUUCUAUCUGUCUAUC